GACGAACGCUGGCGGCGUGCUUAACACAUGCAAGUCGAACGGAAAGGCCCUGCUUUUGUGGGGUGCUCGAGUGGCGAACGGGUGAGUAACACGUGAGUAACCUGCCCUUGACUUUGGGAUAACUUCAGGAAACUGGGGCUAAUACCGGAUAGGAGCUCCUGCUGCAUGGUGGGGGUUGGAAAGUUUCGGCGGUUGGGGAUGGACUCGCGGCUUAUCAGCUUGUUGGUGGGGUAGUGGCUUACCAAGGCUUUGACGGGUAGCCGGCCUGAGGGGGUGACCGGCCACGUUGGGAGUGGGAAACGGCCCAGACCCCCACGGGGGGCAGAGGGGGGGAAUAUUGCAAAAGGGGCGGAAGCCUGGUGCAGCACCCCCGCGUGCGGGAUGAGGGCCUUCGGGUUGAAACCCGCUUUCGCCUGUGACGAAGGGGGAGUGACGGUAAUGGGUAAAGAAGCAGCGGCUAACUACGU
rnacentral:rRNA from 1 species